rfam:Larimichthys crocea isolate SSNF unplaced genomic scaffold scaffold49, whole genome shotgun sequence.
UGGAACCUUCUUUGUAAGUCGCUUUGGAUAAAAGCGUCAGCUAAAUGACUAAAU